UAACGCUCAUAAACAUCACAUAUUUAGAUAUCUCCCUCCCCCCUCCCCCCACCGCCGUUACAAGUGAGAAACUGAGGCGGGGAACGGGAGGAUUCCGAGCACUCUACACAAACCCAAACCUUGUUUUCUCCUUUGUUCUUUUCAUCCUGCGGCCUCUGACAGACUAAAAUCUCGUGCCUGCGAGAGGGCGAGCUAGCCAGUGGAGCAAGAAGAUAAGAUAUGUGAGCUGAGUCUUGAAGUUGGCCAGGCUCCAAGGAAGGUCUGUGGCUUAGACAUCCCACUACCAUCGCUGUCAACCCAGGUGCCCUUUAAACAUUCAUUGCCUAGAUGGAUGAAAAAAAGCAACCAAAGUUUGUAUGGACCUAAGAGAUUUGCCUUCUUUGGGUGAACACCAGAGUGAAGCUGGAUCAAACUUCAAGACUCUUUGCCAAACUGUCUUUAAAAAUGACAGUGCUCUUUUACAUUUCCGUUAGCAGUCAAUGAGAGUUAUCCAUAUCUUUGUCAGCAUUUGAUACCAUCAUUCAAGAAAUGUAGGCAUCUUAAUAUGCCAUCCUCUACAAUCCAGCUGAACGAAUCACUCAGGGUCCAUGAAGCAAUAAUGCACCGCUUCCCUGGCCUGGAAUAUUGUCCCUGCCUUGCAGAGUCUGAGAAUAUCUUAAAGCUACUGCAGAUUUCAGUUUGGGAACAGAGAAGAAUGACACCAGCUGGAAGUUACCUACUUCCUAACUCCACCUAUUUUGUUUUUGGCAGAACUUAUUUCUGGUCCGUCUUCUGGACUAAACCAAGUAUAGCCAGCUGGCCCAGCCCAGUUCUUCCCAAAGAAGAAUCAUAAUGUUUCAAUAGGCAACUAUUCCCACAGCAGUGAACCAGCUCUUAAGCUGUAUCGAAGGCCAUUAGGGUGCUGCAGCCAAUUCCAGGGGGCCAAGUAGAGCAUUUAAGUUUGAGAGGUACUACCUAAGAAAAGUACUGGCUCCCGGGAGUUUGCAACUUCAUUACAUGGCUGCCUUACAUCACUUUGACAUAAUUUUGAGAAGCUGAGUUUUCAGUGCUGGCUGUGACAAGAAGCAAAUGCAAAUCAGUACAUAACAGGAAGUCUUGGUGAAAGCGUCUAUGUUGAUUACAGCUUGACAAGUUGCACAGUCCCAACAGGUAAACAGAUCCCACUAACUGCAGUUUAACAAUAAAAUGAACAUCCCUU